CCUACGGGAGGCAGCAGUGAGGAAUAUUGGUCAAUGGACGAGAGUCUGAACCAGCCAAGUAGCGUGAAGGAUGACUGCCCUAUGGGUUGUAAACUUCUUUUAUAAAGGAAUAAAACGAGGCACGUGUGCUUUUUUGUAUGUACUUUAUGAAUAAGGAUCGGCUAACUCCGUGCCAGCAGCCGCGGUAAUACGGAGGAUCCGAGCGUUAUCCGGAUUUAUUGGGUUUAAAGGGCGCGUAGACGGGUUGUUAAGUCAGUUGUGAAAGUUUGUGGCUCAACCGUAAAAUUGCAAUUGAUACUGGCAGUCUUGAGUACGGUUGAGGUAGGCGGAAUUCGUGGUGUAGCGGUGAAAUGCUUAGAUAUCACGAAGAACCCCGAUUGCGAAGGCAGCUUACUAAGCUAUGACUGACGUUGAUGCACGAAAGUGUGGGGAUCAAACAGGAUUAGAUACCCGUGUAGUC
rnacentral:rRNA from 1 species